GACGAACGCUGGCGGCGUGCCUAAUACAUGCACGUCGAACGCAGUGGGGACGGGUGAGUAACACGUGGGUAACCUCCCAUCAGAGGGGAUAACACUUGGAAACCGGUGCUAAACUGAUACUGAUGUAUGAACCCGCGGUUCAUUAGCUAGUUGGUGUGGUAACGGCUCACCAGGGCCACGCUGCAUAGCCGACCGUAGAGGGUGAUCGGCCAAACUGGAACUGAGACACGGUCCAGACUCCUAAGGGAGGCAGCAGUAGGGAAUCUUCGGCAAUGGACGAAAGUCUGACCAAGCAACGCCGCGUGAGUGAAGAAGGUUUUCGGAUCGUAAAACUCUGUUGUUAAAGAAGCGGUAUCUAACCAGAAAGCCACGGCUAACUACGUGCCAGCAGCCGCGGUAAUAC
rnacentral:rRNA from 1 species